UACGUAGGGGGCAAGCGUUGUCCGGAUUUAUUGGGCGUAAAGAGCGUGUAGGCGGCCUGAAAGGUCAGCUGUGAAAACUCGAGGCUCAACCUCGAGACGUCGGUUGAAACCAUCUGGCUAGAGUCCGGAAGAGGAGUGUGGAAUUCCCGGUGUAGCGGUGAAAUGCGCAGAUAUCGGGAAGAACACCAGUGGCGAAGGCGGCCUUCUGGACCAAUACUGACGCUCAUGCACGAAAGCGUGGGGAGCAAACAGG
rnacentral:rRNA from 1 species